rnacentral:rRNA from 1 species
AUGAAUUGGAUAAGUUGGAACUGUUGAGGGGCGGGGAAUCCCGUGACAGUUCGAGAUCUCGCGUCACUGGUUAGGACGCAUUCCUCGAGGCUUGUUUUCCUUUGUGAGACUAGGCAAAGUAAAGAAAAAAUGUAUCGCCUUAGGAACAGAUUAGGUCUUUCCGGUUUUGAAGCAAUCAGUUGUAAUGGUCGUAGUGGUGGUUUAGCGCUUUUUUGGCAUGAGUCUAUGUACGUCGAUGUUCAGGAAGCCAAUGAAAGAUUGAUUGAUGUGUACCUCUGUGUCUCGGCUGAUGCACCACUUUGGCGGGCUACAUUUGUGUACGAAGAACCACGUAUGGAGAACCAACACCUUACGUGGAACAAACUCAGGAAUCUGCAUGCACAAAGCUCGCUACCAUAG